UGGGGUAGUUUUUUUGUAAAAUCUGAGGUUGUAGAAGGCAUGUAAAGUGGGGUUAGGUCCUUUAGAUAAGGAUAAUUUGAGUGAGUUACUUUAGGGAUAACAGCGUAAUAGUCCUAGGGAGAUCGUAUCUAUGGGGCUGAUUGCGACCUCGAUGUUGAAUUAAAAGCUCAGUGUAGAGCAGAAGCUACAGAGUGAGGGUUUGUUCAACCUUUAAAUUUUUACAUGAUCUGAGUUCAAACCGGA
rnacentral:rRNA from 1 species